AGUCGGCCCUCAGCUGUCAGUGAGCACUGGCUGGCUGUGCGCCGGACCAGUCUGACAAGACUGGAUCGGAUUACCUGCUGUUCUUACACUGAGAUUGAGUUGGGUUGGGAGGGAGGGUGAUUACUGUAUUAUAUGUAGGUCACACACUAAAUCUCUUGGCACACUGCCUACUCAACCUCGAAGUCUAAAGAUUCGAAAGCAGUCGAAUUUCAAAAGCAUUGGACUGUAUAGGGCCUAGAUUCAAGGAACCUAUCGUCAUAAAUAUCUGCCCAAAUCUUGGUUGCUGCGCAGUAAGGCAGGUCACUAUGACGAUGUGUUCCUUGUCAGCUUGGCUGAGCCAGCCUGGAGAAGAAAGGAGACCCAUCCAGCAACCCCAGACAGCAGCUUAGUAAGAGCCUAUCCAGCCCAGAGUGCACGUGAAACUGUUGGGAAGGCCCUACUGAAGAAAACACCGACAUUUCGCAUUGAACUCGGUAAAGUUGUACUGGUGCCUAGCUAAAGCUUUUACCCCUACUGACUAGCGUUCAUGGUACUAGAAGGUACUUUGCAUACUAUCAAAGGAGAAAGGUAAAAAACCAACCCAGCCACAAACUCUUCCAGCUACGAUGGAGACUACCUGCAUGAUACGCAGGUACAAUAGCGGCACAAACGUUGUGAGAGUAACCAACCACUGUCUAAUUGGAUUAAAGCCCCAUGAGAUGAACUCAUGCCUGGCACUGCUCAUGGAACCAAGAACAUGUGACUAGAGAGGGCAUGAACCAAGGGCAAAACACAUACUAUUGUUCUGCUAAAGGAAUAUAACAAUGAAAUGACUAUAUUGUGCUA